rnacentral:rRNA from 1 species
UAGGGAAUCUUCCGCAAUGGGCGAAAGCCUGACGGAGCAACGCCGCGUGAGUGAUGAAGGUCUUCGGAUCGUAAAACUCUGUUAUUAGGGAAGAACAAAUGUGUAAGUAACUAUGCACGUCUUGACGGUACCUAAUCAGAAAGCCACGGCUAACUACGUGCCAGCAGCCGCGGUAAUACGUAGGUGGCAAGCGUUAUCCGGAAUUAUUGGGCGUAAAGCGCGCGUAGGCGGUUUUUUAAGUCUGAUGUGAAAGCCCACGGCUCAACCGUGGAGGGUCAUUGGAAACUGGAAAACUUGAGUGCAGAAGAGGAAAGUGGAAUUCCAUGUGUAGCGGUGAAAUGCGCAGAGAUAUGGAGGAACACCAGUGGCGAAGGCGACUUUCUGGUCUGUAACUGACGCUGAUGUGCGAAAGCGUGGGGAUCAAACAGGAUUAGAUACCCUGGUAGUCCACGCCGUAAACGAUGAGUGCUAAGUGUUAGGGGGUUUCCGCCCCUUAGUGCUGCAGCUAACGCAUUAAGCACUCCGCCUGGGGAGUACGACCGCAAGGUUGAAACUCAAAGGAAUUGACGGGGACCCGCACAAGCGGUGGAGCAUGUGGUUUAAUUCGAAGC